UCCGGCGAGAGAAAAAGGACAGCGGAGCGAGAAAAUAUCAAGAAAUUCGCGGAGAGAGAAAAUCCUUUUUUUGCUUGCUCUCUCUCUCUCUCUCUCUUAGGGUUCGCUGGUUCUCGUUCUCGAACUUUAAUGUCGGUCUCGAUCUAGAGCAAUAGGCAGCUGAGCUCUGUUAGAUUACUCCACUUCUGCUUGAUUUACUCUAGUUGAUCUGGGAUUUGUUUUGAUAUUUUAGGUUUUAGAUUGAUUAGGGUUUGGUUAUCGGAUUGGUGAUGGCGUCGUCGAAGAACGAAGGGUUUUUGACGGCUGAGCAGAGGGAGGUUCUGAAGGUUGCAGCGCAGAAUGGAAAGGCUUCUGGCGGCGGGAAUGGGGUUCGGCACGUGAGGCGGUCGCAUUCGGGGAAGGUUGUGAAGGUGAAGAAAUCUGGUGCUGGUGGUAAAGGAACAUGGGGGAAACUUAUUGAUACUGAUUCUGACAUGCACCUUGAUCGCAAUGAUCCCAACUAUGACAGUGGUGAGGAACCGUACCAGCUGGUGGGUUCUACCGUUUCAGACCCAUUGGAUGAUUACAAGAAGUCUGUAGUUACUCUAAUUGAGGAAUAUUUUAGUAAUGGAGAGGUGGAAUUAGCUGCCUCUGAUUUAAGAGAUCUUGGCUCAGAUGAGUUCCAUCCUUACUUCGUGAAGAGACUUAUCUCCAUAGCAAUGGACAGGCAUGACAAAGAGAAAGAGAUGGCAUCAGUUUUACUGUCUGCUUUGUACUCUGAUGUAAUAAGCCCAGUUCGCAUUAGUCAAGGAUUUUUCAUGCUUCUUGAGGCUGCAGAUGAUCUAGCAGUUGACAUACUUGAUGCAGUUGAUGUCCUGGCUCUUUUUAUUGCCCGUGCAGUAGUUGAUGAUAUCUUACCUCCUGCAUUUCUUGAUAGAGCAAAAAGAGCACUUUCUGACACAUCUAAAGGGCUUCAGGUAAUUCAAACUGCUGAAAAGAGCUACUUAUCAGCUCCCCAUCAUGCGGAAUUAGUUGAACGACGAUGGGGUGGUAGUACCCACAUCACUGUCGAAGAAGUGAAGAGAAAGAUCUCAGAUUUACUGAAAGAAUAUAUUGAGAACGGAGAUACAGCAGAAGCCUGUAGGUGCAUAAGGGAAUUGGGGGUCUCUUUCUUCCACCAUGAGGUUGUAAAACGUGCUCUCGUGCUUGCCAUGGAGUCACCAACGUCAGAGCAACUUAUAUCAAAACUGCUGAAAGAAGCAUCAGAGGAAGGCCUAAUCAGCUCUAGUCAGAUGAUAAAAGGGUUUUCUCGGUUCAGUGAAAGUCUUGAUGACCUGAUUCUCGAUAUUCCCUCUGCUAAAGAUUCUUUCAAGUUGCUGGUUCCAAAAUCAAUAUCUGAAGGAUGGCUUGACCCUUUGUUUCUUAAGCCUUCUGGUCAAAAUGGCGAGUACAAAAGUGAAGAUGAGAAGCUAGCACGGUAUAAGGAAGAAGCAGUCACCAUAAUCCAGGAGUAUUUUCUUUCAGAUGACAUACCUGAACUCAUCAGAAGUCUUCAAGAUCUAGCUGCUCCUGAGUACAACCCUGUUUUCGUCAAGAAACUGAUUACACUCGCCAUGGACCGAAAGAAUAGGGAGAGAGAGAUGGCGUCUGUUCUUUUAUCUGCACUACGGGUGGAGAUCUUUUCAUCCGACGACGUUGUAAAUGGAUUCACGAUGCUUCUGGAGUCUGCAGAGGACACUGCACUGGAUAUUUUGGAUGCUUCCAACGAGCUAGCUCUAUUCAUAGCUCGGGCGGUGAUUGAUGAUGUAUUGGUUCCUCUAAACCUAGAGGAGAUUACGAGCAAGCUUCCACCUAACAGCAGUGGAAGUGGAACUGUUCAUAUGGCACAGUCGCUUGUAUCAGCUCGUCAUGCAGGCGAGAGGCUUCUAAGAUGCUGGGGUGGAGGAACCGGUUGGAUAGUGGAGGACGCGAAAGACAAGAUCGCAAAGCUUUUGGAGGAGUAUGAGAGUGGAGGUGACGUAGGGGAAGCUUGCCGAUGCAUUCGUGACCUGGGGUUGCCCUUCUUCAAUCACGAGGUGGUUAAGAAAGCUCUUGUAAUGGCGAUGGAGAAGAAAAAUGAUCGUAUACUUGAUUUACUGCAGGAGUGUUUUGGCGAAGGAUUGAUCACCAUUAACCAGAUGACGAAGGGUUUUGCUAGGGUUAGGGAUGGGCUGGAUGAUCUGGCUCUUGAUAUUCCCAAGGCCGAGGAGAAGUUUGGGUUUUAUGUCGAGCGUGCUAAGAAGAAUGGCUGGCUUUUGCCGACUUUUAGUGCUGCUGCUGCUUAGGAGUGAUCAUCCAUAGUCUCAUGUGGUGGCUUUUCUGGAAGCCCUAUCAGCUUUGAGAGCAGUCUUCUUUGUUUACCGUGGAAAAGGAACAUACAAACUCUUUUAUCUUAUGAGUCAGGUUUACUAGUUCUAGAUUUGUUCCCUCCUUUUAGUAGGUGUUUUCCAUAUGAAUCGGGGACCUGGUGCGUUUUGUGUGCGCUCCUGUGUUGUAAUGUUAGUAGCCACAUGCUGAAAGUUUCAGUUAUCUCCA